rnacentral:rRNA from 1 species
CAGUCGCCGCGGGAAUACGGAGGGUGCAAGCGUUAAUCGGAAUUACUGGGCGUAAAGCGCACGCAGGCGGUCUGACAAGUCAGAUGUGAAAUCCCCGGGCUUAACCUGGGAACUGCAUUUGAAACUGUCAGGCUGGAGUCUUGUAGAGGGGGGUGGAAUUCCAGGUGUAGCGGUGAAAUGCGUAGAGAUCUGGAGGAAUACCGGUGGCGAAGGCGGCCCCCUGGACAAAGACUGACGCUCAGGUGCGAAAGCGUGGGGAGCAAACAGGAUUAGAUACCCGUGUAGUCCCUGUCUCUUAUCA